AUGAAUCGAGAAAAAGAAAGAAAAAUAAAAAUCAAAUAAUCGAUGAUUCAAAAGAAAAAGCACUGAAAAGGGCAAUCGGUAAAAAUUCAAGAAAUAAGAAAAGAAAGCCGAGGAAAUAAAAGAAACAAACACAGGAUGUAACAUCGACUCUGAACCAAAAGCCCAUUAUUUUCCUUUUUAAUCCAUACCCUAACCCAGGCCAAGCUACAACCCUAAAGACCUCAAAAGUGUGUGUGUUGUGUGUAGGUGAUGAGAAAAG
rnacentral:lncRNA from 1 species